UAAGUGCUUUUUGUUUGGGUAG
rnacentral:miRNA from 1 species